rnacentral:rRNA from 1 species
GAUGAACGCUGGCGGCGUGCCUAAUACAUGCAAGUCGAGCGAACAGAUGAGGAUCUUGCUCCUCUGACGUUAGCGGCGGACGGGUGAGUAACACGUGGAUAACCUACCUAUAAGACUGGGAUAACUUCGGGAAACCGGAACCAAUACCGGAUAAUCUAUUGAACCGCAUGGUUCAAUAGUGAAAGACGGAUUUGCUGUUACUUAUUGAUGGUUACGCGCCGCAGUAGCUAGUUGGUAGGGUAACGGGUUACUAAGAAAACGAUGCGUGGCAGGCCUGAGAGGGUGGUCGGCCACACUGGAACUGGGACACGGUCCAGACUCCAGCGGGAGGCAGCAGUAGGGAAUCGUCCGUAUUGGGCGAAGGCCUGACGGAGCAACGCCGGGUGAGUGAUGAAGGUCUUCGGAUCGUAAAUCGCUGUUAUUAGUGAAGAACAAAUAUGUAAGUAACUAGGCACGUCUUGACGGUACCUAAUCGGAGAGGCACGGGUAACUACGGG